rnacentral:rRNA from 1 species
UACGAAGGGGCUAGCGUUGCUCGGAAUCACUGGGCGUAAAGGGUGCGUAGGCGGGUCUUUAAGUCAGGGUGAAAUCCUGGAGCUCAACUCCAGAACUGCCUUUGAUACUGGCGAUCUUGAGUCCGGAGAGGUGAGUGGAACUGCGAGUGUAGAGGUGAAAUUCGUAGAUAUUCGCAAGAACACCAGUGGCGAAGGCGGCUCACUGGCCCGGUACUGACGCUGAGGUGCGAAGCGUGGAGCAACAGG